GAAUAAGGGCUGGGCAAGACCGGUGCCAGCCGCCGCGGUAAUACCGGCAGCCCGAGUGAUGGCCGAUAUUAUUGGGCCUAAAGCGUCCGUAGCUGGCCGGACAAGUCCGUYGGGAAAUCYGCUCGCUCAACGAGCAGGCGUCCAGCGGAAACUGUUCGGCUUGGGACCGGAAGACCUGAGGGGUACGUCCGGGGUAGGAGUGAAAUCCUGUAAUCCUGGACGGACCACCGGUGGCGAAAGCGCCUCAGGAAGACGGAUCCGACAGUGAGGGACGAAAGCUAGGGUCUCGAACCGGAUUAGAUACCCGGGUAGUCCUAGCUGUAAACGAUGCUCGCUAGGUGUGGCACAGGCUACGAGCCUGUGCUGUGCCGU
rnacentral:rRNA from 1 species